rnacentral:rRNA from 1 species
UGAGUGGCGGACGGGUGAGUAACGCGUGGGCAACCUGCCCUGUACAGGGGGACAACACUUAGAAAUAGGUGCUAAUACCGCAUAACGGGGGGAGCCGCAUGGCACCCCCUGAAAACUCCGGUGGUACAGGAUGGGCCCGCGUCUGAUUAGCUGGUUGGCAGGGUAACGGCCUACCAAGGCGACGAUCAGUAGCCGGCCUGAGAGGGCGGACGGCCACACUGGGACUGAGACACGGCCCAGACUCCUACGGGAGGCAGCAG